AUUGAACGCUGGCGGCAGGCCUAACACAUGCAAGUCGAUCGCGUGGCGGACGGGUGAGUAAUGUCUGGGAAACUUCCUGCUGGAGGGGGAUAACUACUGGAAACGGUAGCUACUACCGCAUACCAGCGGCUGUGCCCAGAUGGGAUUAGCUAGUAGGUGGGGUAAAGGCUCACCUAGGCGACGAUCCCUAGCUGGUCUGAGAGGAUGACCAGCAACACUGGACCUGAGAUACGGUCCAGACUCCUACGGGAGGCAGCAGUGGGGAAUAUUGCACAAUGGGCGCAAGCCUGAUUCAGCCAUGCCGCGUGAAUGAAAAAGGCCUUCGGAUUGUAAAGUACGUUCAGCGGAGAGGCGUUACCCGCAGAGGAAGCACCGGCUAACUCCGUGCCAGCAGCCGCGGUAAUAC
rnacentral:rRNA from 1 species